rnacentral:rRNA from 1 species
UACGGGGGGGGCAAGCGUUGUUCGGAAUUACUGGGCGUAAAGGGCGCGUAGGCGGCCCUCUAAGUCAGACGUGAAAUCCCACGGCUUAACCGUGGAACUGCGUCUGAUACUGGAGGGCUUGAAUCCGGGAGAGGGAUGUGGAAUUCCAGGUGUAGCGGUGAAAUGCGUAGAUAUCUGGAGGAACACCUGUGGCGAAAGCGGCUCACUGGACCACAACUGACGCUGAGGCGCGAAAGCUAGGGGAGCAAACAGGG